GACCUGCGGAGGGAUCAUUGCUGGAACGCGCCCCAGGCGCACCCAGAAACCCUUUGUGAACUUAUACCUUACUGUUGCCUCGGCGCAUGCCGGCCCCCCUGGGGGCCCCUCCUUCUGGAGGAGCAGGCACGCCGGCGGCCAACCUAACUCUUGUUUUUACACUGAAACUCUGAGAAUAAAACAUAAAUGAAUCAAAACUUUCAACAACGGAUCUCUUGGUUCUGGCAUCGAUGAAGAACGCAGCGAAAUGCGAUAAGUAAUGUGAAUUGCAGAAUUCAGUGAAUCAUCGAAUCUUUGAACGCACAUUGCGCCCUCUGGUAUUCCGGAGGGCAUGCCUGUUCGAGCGUCAUUUCAACCCUCAAGCCUGGCUUGGUGAUGGGGCACUGCUUUUACCCAAAAGCAGGCCCUGAAAUUCAGUGGCGAGCUCGCCAGGACCCCGAGCGCAGUAGUUAAACCCUCGCUUUGGAAGGCCCUGGCGGUGCCCUGCCGUUAAACCCCCAACUUCUGAAAAUUUGACCUCGGAUCAGGUAGGAAUACCCGCUGAACUUAAGCAUAUCAA
rnacentral:rRNA from 1 species